rnacentral:rRNA from 1 species
CCCAGACUCCUACGGGAGGCAGCAGUGAGGAAUAUUGGUCAAUGGCCGGAAGGCUGAACCAGCCAAGCCGCGUGAAGGACGAAGGUGCCAAGCAUUGUAAACUUCUUUUGUCAAGGGACAAAAUCAGGCUCGAGAGCCUGACCGAGGGUACUUGAAGAAAAAGCAUCGGCUAACUCCGUGCCAGCAGCCGCGGUAAUACGGAGGAUGCGAGCGUUAUCCGGAUUUAUUGGGUUUAAAGGGGGCGUAGGCGGACUUUUAAGCCCGGGUUAAAAUCCGGGGCCCCACCCCCGGCGAGCCGUUGAAACUGGCUGUCUUGAGAUGUCGAGAGGUAUGCGGAAUGCGCAGUGUAGCGGUGAAAUGCAUAGAUAUCACGCAGAACUCCGAUUGCGAAGGCAGCAUACCGGCGCCCAACUGACGCUGAAGCACGAAAGCGUGGGUAUCGAACAGGAUUAGAUACCCUCGUAA